rnacentral:pre_miRNA from 1 species
UUAACACAAAUUUGUAUGGAGCUGGAACGUUUGCUUACGUUUGCGGCUAGGGGCGCUGUUACAACUGCAUACAAUUUUGAGUUA